UACGGGGGGGGCAAGCGUUGUUCGGAAUUACUGGGCGUAAAGGGCGCGUAGGCGGCCUUCUAAGUCAGACGUGAAAUCCCUCGGCUCAACCGAGGAACUGCGUCUGAUACUGGAAGGCUUGAAUCCGGGAGAGGGAUGUGGAAUUCCAGGUGUAGCGGUGAAAUGCGUAGAUAUCGGGAAGAACACCCGUGGCGAAGGCGGCCCCCUGGUUGGAUACUGACGCUGAGACGCGAAAGCGUGGGGAGCAAACAGG
rnacentral:rRNA from 1 species